rnacentral:rRNA from 1 species
UACGUAGGGUGCGAGCGUUAAUCGGAAUUACUGGGCGUAAAGGGUGCGCAGGCCGCGCGGGCAGUCAAAUGUGUAAUCCAGGGGCUCAACCCCUGAACUGCGCUUGAUACUUCCGCGCUCGAGCUUUGGAGAGGAGUCUGGAAUUCUCGGUGUAGCAGUGAAAUGCGUGGAUAUCGAGAAGAACACUUAGGGCGUAGGCAAGACUCUGGACAAAUGCUGACGCUCAUGCACGAAGGCUAGGGUAGCGAACGGG